GAACCCCUGUGAGGGGAGUGAAAUAGAACCUGAAACCGUGUACGUACAAGCAGUAGGAGCACCUUCGUGGUGUGACUGCGUACCUUUUGUAUAAUGGGUCAGCGACUUAUAUUCAGUGGCAAGGUUAACCAUCUAGGGGAGCCGUAGGGAAACCGAGUCUUAACUGGGCGUUCAGUCUCUGGAUAUAGACCCGAAACCAGGUGAUCUAGCCAUGGGCAGGUUGAAGGUUGAGUAACAUCAACUGGAGGACCGAACCGACUAAUGUUGAAAAAUUAGCGGAUGACUUGUGGCUAGGGGUGAAAGGCCAAUCAAACCUGGAGAUAGCUGGUUCUCCCCGAAAGCUAUUUAGGUAGCGCCUCGGACGAAUACUACUGGGGGUAGAGCACUGUUAAGGCUAGGGGGUCAUCCCGACUUACCAACCCUUUGCAAACUCCGAAUACCAGUAAGUACUAUCCGGGAGACACACGGCGGGUGCUAACGUCCGUCGUGGAGAGGGAAACAACCCAGACCGCCAGCUAAGGUCCCAAAUUACUACUAAGUGGGAAACGAUGUGGGAAGGCUCAGACAGCCAGGAUGUUGGCUUAGAAGCAGCCAUCAUUUAAAGAAAGCGUAAUAGCUCACUGGUCGAGUCGGCCUGCGCGGAAGAUGUAACGGGGCUAAGUAGUAAACCGAAGCUGCGGCAAUACACUUUUGUGUAUUGGGUAGGGGAGCGUUCUGUAAGCGGUUGAAGGUGUGUGGUAACGCAUGCUGGACGUAUCAGAAGUGCGAAUGCUGACAUGAGUAACGAUAAAGGGGGUGAAAAACCUCCUCGCCGGAAGACCAAGGGUUCCUGUCCAACGUUAAUCGGGGCAGGGUAAGUCGACCCCUAAGGCGAGGCCGAAAGGCGUAGUCGAUGGGAAACGGGUUAAUAUUCCCGUACUUCUUACAAUUGCGAUGGGGGGACGGAGAAGGCUAGGUGGGCCUGGCGACGGUUGUCCAGGUUCAAGUGCGUAGGCUUAAGAGUUAGGUAAAUCCGGCUCUUUCUAAGGCUGAGACACGACGUCGAGCACCUACGGGUGUGAAGUCAUUGAUGCCAUGCUUCCAGGAAAAGCCUCUAAGCUUCAGAUUGUAAGGAAUCGUACCCCAAACCGACACAGGUGGUCGGGUAGAGAAUACCAAGGCGCUUGAGAGAACUCGGGUGAAGGAACUAGGCAAAAUGGUACCGUAACUUCGGGAGAAGGUACGCUCUCGACGGUGAAGUCCCUUGCGGAUGGAGCUAUUGAGAGUCGCAGAUACCAGGUGGCUGCAACUGUUUAUUAAAAACACAGCACUGUGCAAAAUCGUAAGAUGACGUAUACGGUGUGACGCCUGCCCGGUGCCGGAAGGUUAAUUGAUGGGGUUAGACUUCGGUCGAAGCUCUUGAUCGAAGCCCCGGUAAACGGCGGCCGUAACUAUAACGGUCCUAAGGUAGCGAAAUUCCUUGUCGGGUAAGUUCCGACCUGCACGAAUGGCGUAAUGAUGGCCACGCUGUCUCCACCCGAGACUCAGUGAAAUUGAAAUCGCUGUGAAGAUGCAGUGUACCCGCGGCUAGACGGAAAGACCCCGUGAACCUUUACUACAGCUUGGCACUGAACAUUGACCCUACAUGUGUAGG
rnacentral:rRNA from 1 species